AUUAACCGGAGUUCGUAUUGUAAAAAAACAAUAACAUUUCUGUUGUACUUAACAGUUGCCCCGUUGAUCCAACUGUGAGAAUCAGUGGAUCUGGAAGCCAAAAGAGAUUUAGCAUCACGUCAUUUGGAAUGAUCCAGAAAGGAUUAGACCACAAUGUAAUUGUACGGUGUCGAAUGAUUGCUUGUGACAGCAAGAACGCAUCUGAAUGCGAGGAACUGAAGAGUAAGAGUAGAAAUUGUCCUGCACGCAAGGGCUAGACGUCCAAGUCACAAUGCGAUUAGCACACAUCUCGCUUCCAUUCUACUAUUCUACACACCAGAUACACUACUGCAAAUUCUGUUUUGAGGAUUUUUGAUAAAUUGAAAUAAUACCUGGAGAACAUUUUAUUAAUUGAUAAUAUUUACAUGCACUGACAAUAGACUGACGAAGUUAGCGAAUAAACCGUGCAAUUAUCUUAAUGACCUAUGUUAUAACUUUGAAUUGUUGUUUGAAAUUAUAUGAACGUGAAACCGGCUAUAGUAAGUAAAAGAACCGUUUGAUUUAUAUUUAAAUUCUUGAAAAUAAAUGCCGAUAAUAUGCAAAUUA